rnacentral:lncRNA from 1 species
CUGGCAGUGAAGAAGGCUGGAGAAACCAGAAGGUUCAGAGGGGGAUGGGAAGAAUUCUACCUCACAGUUUUGCAUAGGGGAUAGCUAUGCUUUUGCAGGACAUUUUAGCCUUUAAAACCAUAUUUUCAAUAUUGUGUUUAUAUUCAGUACUACCCAGCUGUGGUUAUUUCAUACUCUGGUGACUUUCUUAUCCACUGUGUUUUAUCUUUCCUGCCCAUUCUAUUACAUAGAGCAUUUACCUGUAUUAGCCUGUAAAAUUAUAAUCGUAUGUAUGUUUCCAGUGCCCAUGUUCAAAGAUAUUUGUGUAUGGUUUAUCUGAUCUUUCCUAUUAGAUUUGUAAAGGCUGGGAAUUUUGGCUUCUACUGUAAAUCCUUAUAAUGCUCCACACAUUGUAAAUAUGCAAUAAAAUGUUAAGAACUAUAAUGGCAGUGGAUUUUGAUAU